rnacentral:rRNA from 1 species
CCUACGGGAGGCAGCAGUGAGGAAUAUUGGUCAAUGGCCGGAAGGCUGAACCAGCCAAGUCGCGUGAGGGAUGACUGCCCUAUGGGUUGUAAACUUCUUUUAUAAGGGAAGAAUAAAUGCUACGUGUAGCAUGAUGCCUGUACCUUAUGAAUAAGCAUCGGCUAACUCCGUGCCAGCAGCCGCGGUAAUACGGAGGAUGCGAGCGUUAUCCGGAUUUAUUGGGUUUAAAGGGUGCGUAGGCGGUUUUUUAAGUGGGUGGUUAAACGUCGGGGGUUCACCUUGAAUUGCCAUUAAUACUGUCAGACUCGAGUGCAGUCGAGGUAGGCGGAAUAAGUGGAGUAGCGGUGAAAUGCUUAGAUAUAACGAAGAACUCCGAUAGCGAAGGCAGCUUACCAGACUGCGACUGACGCUGAAGCACGAGAGCGUGGGUAGCGAACAGGAUUAGAUACCCGUGUAGUC